AUGCAACUUAAUUAUUAUAAAUCCCAUAGGAUCAACGAAAAAAAAACAAAAAAGACGUCAUGGCAACUUGCCAAACGCAACACAAGCUAUAGCCGUGUCCCCUACGUCGGAGGGGGAGAGAUCAUCCAGACACCAACAGAAACCAGGCAGCAAACCUUCGGAAGCUUCCUGGUGCCAUUGUGCGUUAAUGACUCAGGGAAUAAUAUACCUCAAACAUUUCGAAUGGAAAACUUCGCGUCCGGUAAGUUGCACCUCCUGCCAGGCUACAAGGCAUCCAAUUCUGUAAGAAGCAUCCAACUGCACCGUGCCAUCAAUCACUUGCUACAAUAA
rnacentral:rRNA from 1 species